rnacentral:rRNA from 1 species
AUUGAACGCUGGCGGCAUGCUUUACACAUGCAAGUCGAACGGUAACAGGGUGCUUGCACCGCUGACGAGUGGCGAACGGGUGAGUAAUGCGUCGGAACGUGCCGAGUAGUGGGGGAUAACGCAGCGAAAGUUGUGCUAAUACCGCAUACGUACUGAGGUAGAAAGUGGGGGACCUUCGGGCCUCACGCUAUUCGAGCGGCCGACGUCUGAUUAGCUAGUAGGUGAGGUAAAGGCUCACCUAGGCGACGAUCAGUAGCGGGUCUGAGAGGAUGAUCCGCCACACUGGGACUGAGACACGGCCCAGACUCCUACGGGCGGCAGCAGUGGGGAAUUUUGGCCAAUGGGCGAAAGCCUGAUCCAGCCAUUCCGCGUGUCUGAAGAAGGCCUUCGGGUUGUAAAGGGCUUUUGUCGGGGAGGAAAUCCCCAGCGUUAAUACCGCUGGGGGAUGACAGUACCUGAAGAAUAAGCACCGGCUAACUACGUGCCAGCAGCCGCCGUAAUAC